rnacentral:lncRNA from 1 species
UCUGGAAAGAUUAAAAGCCACCCAGAUGUUUACAAGUCGCUCAGCUCCUAAUGAUCGUCUGCUCUCUGUCAUUCAUCCCCGUCUCCCUGCAGGUGGAGGAGUGAACGGAAUAGGUGGAGAAGCUCUUCCUCGUCACGCAGACGUUGACACAUCCAUCCGUGGGAGGGAAAGGAAGACGAGGAAUUGUUUGCUGCUUUCAGGAGGAAUUCAAGGUGACAUCCUCAUCCAGAUCGAUGUGAUCUAG